CCUACGGGAGGCAGCAGUGAGGAAUAUUGGUCAAUGGCCGGAACGCUGAACCAGCCAUGCCGCGUGAAGGUCAGUGCCCUAUGGGCGUUAAACUUCUUUUGUGCGGGAGCAAUAAUGGUCACGUGUGGCCAGACGAGAGUACCGUACGAAUAAGCAUCGGCUCACUCCGUGCCAGCAGCCGCGGUAAUACGGGGGAUGCAAGCGUUAUCCGGAUUUAUUGGGUUGAAAGGGUGCGUAGGCUGGGAGGUAAGUCAGCGGGGGAAUGCCCCGGCUCAACGGGGUGAAGUGCCAUUGAUACUGGAGUGCUGGAAUGCGGAUGCCGUGGGAGGAAUGUGUGGUGUAGCGGUGAAAUGCAUAGAUAUCACACAGAACACCGAUUGCGAAGGCAUCUCACGAGUCCGCGAUUGACGCUGAUGCACGAAAGCGUGGGUAUCAAACAGGAUUAGAUACCCCUGUAGUC
rnacentral:rRNA from 1 species